rnacentral:rRNA from 1 species
AGCAGUCGCCGCGGUAAUACGAAGGGUGCAAGCGUUAAUCGGAAUUACUGGGCGUAAAGCGUGCGUAGGCGGUUUGUUAAGUCUGCUGUGAAAUCCCCGGGCUCAACCUGGGAAUGGCAGUGGAUACUGGCAAGCUAGAGUGUGUCAGAGGAUGGUGGAAUUCCCGGUGUAGCGGUGAAAUGCGUAGAGAUCGGGAGGAACAUCAGUGGCGAAGGCGACUAUCUGGGCCAACACUGACACUGAGGCACGAAAGCGUGGGGAGCAAACAGGAUUAGAGACCCCGGUAGUCCCUGUCUCUUAUAC